rnacentral:misc_RNA from 1 species
ACUUCCUGAUGUCACGGAUACCCAAUGAUCAUUUAAUACUUCGGCACCAAUAUCUGUUUUCUGACUCGCUAAAGGAAUUGGAUAAUUCUUUGGAAGAAGCCGAUAACUUGGGGAGCAACUGUCACAGUUAGAGAGAUCAAGUUCAUGUAUAGGUUUUGCUGCGUAUUUAUCCUUGCUAUACAACGACAUCUUCUGCCCUUGUGCAUCUCUAGUUGCAUAAGCA